rnacentral:tRNA from 1 species
UGUAAAUUAGUGUAUGAAGCACUUAAAUUUUUGAAAUUUAAAGUUAAGUUUAAUUCUUUAUUUUACAA